GACGACGAAAUGAGACCAAAUUUUCUUUGGCAAUCUCCGUGUUCCUGCUGCAGGUGCUGAGGCCAUUUCACUAAAGCAGGGCCAGACGCGAAUGUCAUUAGUUCCUGAGCCCCAGGUGAAUUUGCCACAGUUCCACAUGAUUAACCCAGAUAAUUGUGUGUUGAUAGCGAGCAUGGUCGAUGGAAUACAAUUUUCGGGCCCAGAUUCCUAAACAAACAGCUCAGCAGCAGCAGCAGCAGCAGCAGCAGGAGCCGCCGCGGUAAGCCAUGGAGACGGGAUAACGGUGGGUUACCGACACGUACCAAGGUUUACAGAGAGACUGGGAGGCGGGGGGGUGCAUAGGGAGGAAGCUUCUCGAAAGAGGUCAGCCGUGGGUGACGCUGAGAGAAAGUGGCCGAAGGUGCUUCAUUUAUUUUGAUUCGCCGUCGUUUUAGACAUCAGUUGUAUUGUGACUUUGCAAAAAAAGUCCUUUGCUCACCAUUGUUUAUCAGGAUUUGAAAUGGAUUAGUUACUGAUGUAGGAAAUGGCUGCAUCGUACUGGUUAUAUUCUCAUAAACUGUUUACGAAUAGCCAAGAGAACUCAGAAUAAUUUAUCUUUUGGUGACAUGGAUGAGCGGAUACAAGGUGCAAGCACAAUAUUCAAUAAUAAUACGACAAAAUGGUUAGUUAAGAACUGCCUGAACUGUCGGUCUUGAGCUGCAAAAUGUCCACUAUGUCUAUAAUUUGUUGUUCAUCAUUCACUCUGUCUUUUUUGCUUCACACUGUCCAGUUGUGACUGAAAACACCAAUGGGAGAGCAGUGACAAGGAACCAAAACAGCAAAAUUGUGGCUAAAAGACACAAAGUUGCAGCUCUAGCCCCUCAGAGUCAGAAGAAAGAUCCAGAACCAAGCAGCAGCCAAGAGCCCACAAGUCCAGAGUGGGAGAUGUUCAGAGGGAGCUGAUGCCACAUCUGGUUCCGCCGAUGGAAGGUCUUGAAGUUCUCUGACUAAAGAUGGUCCUCUGACUGGAUUUAAGGUUCAGAUGCUUCUCUUCCCUGGAGAUGCACAAUGAAUAUUCCUUUAAACCAACCUAAAUUUCAUGAUUUGAUUAUUAAGUACAGUACUUCUAAAUGCAUGCCAAUUUAAAUGCUUGCACACCUUUCUAUAAAAAAAAAAAAACUAAGAGGAAUGCGUUUAACUUUGUUGGGCGUCCAUGUUUCUUUUCAAAUCCAGUAGCAGCAGAAGUUCAGCAAUCACGCUGAAGAAAGUCAGACUUCUGCAGCUGACGCAGCCUUGAAAAGAAUCUUCAACUUUUUUUUUACUUGCCUUGUCUUGGAUGACUUAUCAUCAGAAAAGUAAAAUGAAUAAAUGUUUCUGUGAACAAAACCCCCUGCUCAAUCUCAUCGGCGCUAAAUACAAGAACCCGCUGUUGCAUCAGGCGAGAAAAAAAAAAGGAAACUCAACCUGUUAGAUGCUGACAACACCUGUUUUACGAGAGGUAUGCACCUUAAUCUUGUUUUUAGGCACACGCGUGAAGCCUUGAGUCCCAGGAAUACAGCGCCGUAGCCUGCCAAGUGAAUUUGUAAAACAUCAUCAAAGAAGAGGAUGAGGAGAAAGAAACACUGGGGUUUGUGUUCCCACCAGCAGAGAGAUAAAACAAGUCAGGGAGCCAGGUGUGGAGGGGAGGAGAGAGGGAAGGAGCAAGGAAGAGAGAGAGCAAGACUGGCAAUGAGGAGAAGCAAAGAAAAGAAGCAGAGACAGCCAAUCUCCCUGGUGCAUUCUGGGAGUUGAACCUGGCAGGAGAAAUUAGCGGCGUUCGCAGUAAGUGAAAGGGAUAAUCCCUCUCUGACGGAGAGGAGAGGGGGGGAGGAGUGCGGUGCAGUGCAGCAAUGAUCCCUCCUGUGUUCCUCUGAUUUUAGGUUCCAGGUUUAUUUAUUAAGAGGAUAAGCCCUUCUUCUGUAUGCAAACCUCAGAGGCAAGAGGGUCGCUGUCACUCCGAUGCCAAGACGGUGCUGAUUUGAGGGUCUGCUGCUUGCCAUGAUGCUGGCUGCAGGCCCAGACAAGGAAUUCACUGCAGUUGAGUGUGGCUACAGGUGGAGUUAGAGCGCCUACGAAAGAUGACUUCAUGGAAACUCAGACCUGAACAUAGAGAAUUAAAUGGUUUCUUUGACACUUUGGCUUCCGAGGUGAUAUAUUGGUGCUUCAUCUGAGGAAACGUUGUCGCCUAGACUGUAAAGGUUGGUGUGGAAGCUCUAAUCAUAACCCCAACCAACAUCUUUGGAUUGUAGAGAAACAGUUCAAGACAACUGGACAUGUGCGAGUUUCUAGAAGGGGUCUUACCUCUCAUCCGAAAGGCUUCUUCACUUUUGACACACCUUAACUCAGGGCACCUUUUACAAAAGGUUGUUGCCAGAGGUACGGACUCGUACCCGUAGCCUG